rnacentral:rRNA from 1 species
ACUCAAUAGAUACCCGGGUAGUCCACGCCGUAAACGUUGGGCGCUAGGUGUGGGGGCCAUUCCACGGUCUCCGUGCCGCAGCUAAACGCAUUAAGCGCCCCGCCUGGGGAGUACGGCCGCAAGGCUAAAACUCAAAGGAAUUGACGGGGGCCCGCACAAGCGGCGGAGCAUGUUGCUUAAAUUCGAUGCAACGCGAAGAACCUUACCUAGGCUUGACAUGCACGGAAAUCUCGCAGAGAUGCGGGGUCCGUAAGGGCCGUGCACAGGUGGUGCAUGGUUGUCGUCAGCUCGUGUCGUGAGAUGUUGGGUUAAGUCCCGCAACGAGCGCAACCCUCGUUCCAUGUUGCCAGCACGUGAUGGUGGGGACUCAUGGGAGACUGCCGGGGUCAACUCGGAGGAAGGUGGGGAUGACGUCAAAUCAUCAUGCCCCUUAUGUCUAGGGCGGCAAACAUGCUACAAUGGCCGGUACAAAGGGCUGCGAUACCGUGAGGUGGAGCGAAUCCC